GGGAGGUUUAAACGGCGGAACCGCGGACGUGGCGCUCAAUGACCACGGGCAGCUGCUUGGCAGCCGGCGCUGCUGGAACCGCGACGACGCAUUUCGAGGUGUCAUCCCCCCCCAAAAGGGAGCACCUGAGAAUCCCUGAAGCCUCUGACCAAUACAGAAAAUGUUAUGCUGAGGGACAGAGCCAGUAGUUUCAACCAUAGCAGCAGCAGAAGCAAAAGAGGGAACCAGAUUUUGACCGGUCAGAGAGGUGAAGCAUCACCACUGUACAAAUAGGGUCCUCCAGGUUUUUCAAAAGAAGGGGAGGAACAGUUGUAUGUCAGCAGACUGAAGAGGUAUUUGGCAGAGUUUGAAUCAGCUCUAAAGUUGAGGAUCCGAUCCCAUCUUAACUCAAAGGAUGUAGCAAGAAGAAAUCAAACUUCACAAGAAGUUGAGGAUUUGAAAAAAGGAUGUCAUUCAUGUUUUGAAUUCCUGGAUUAAUGGCUCUGGAUGGAGUCCAUUUAAGAUUAAGACAGUAGCCAAGAGCCGUCCUUCCAGCCCCACACUGUGCAGACCUGGGAGAAAGGAGGAAGUGGUCCUCAUCCUAAGGAAUUUAAACUGUGAGAAAAGUGGUGAUGAGAUACAAGUCAUGCUAAUUUCAAGUGUUAAUGAAGCAGAAUCCAUCCCGAUGUGAAGCAACUCGAGGAUGCUCUGUGACACAGCCAUAAUGGGACCAGACAUUAUGGUCUAUUGUGUUAAUAAUCUGUGAAUUAAAGCAUCCCCCAGCAAGCUGUUAAUGUGAUGGAUUGUAUCAGUGAUGUGCUGUUAAAGGGUCCCCAGUCAACCUUGACACAACAGGCCAGAGCGGUUUGGAAGGCCUGGCAGCUCCAUCAGACAGUUGGGCCGUGCCUGGUGCACAAGAUAAACCUGAUAGGAGAUCACGGGGAGCUUCAGAGGAGGCUGAGGAUGCUCAUCACAUUGCCAGGGAUGGGCCUGAGAGACCAAAAUGCUCAGAAUCCUCUUGACGAAGAAAAGCAGAAGUCUCAGCAUUAAAAAUAGAUGCUUUUUAUCUUGCAUAGGAUACAAAAUCUCUUCUGAUAGGACAUUUUUUUAUGAUAUUUUAGCAGCUCCAAGCAGUCUUGGAUUAGGCCUGUAUCACAACAGUAAUACACAGGAGGCUAUGUUUUGUCUUGCUAUGACACCAGCUACUAUUGUUUUUGAUCUGCAGCCUCUGAAGAGGGAUGCUGCAUCUUCGACGGAAGGUGUUAUGAGUGCAGAUUAGUUAGACAAGUGCUGGAGUGAAUGCAUAAGCAGUGAUUUUGCAUAAUGAGGUAUGUGAAAUCCCAGUGGAGGUUGUUAAAACAGAUAGACAGCCUGUGGUAAACAACAAGGAAGGUAAGCUUUGAAAACAGAUGGCUUUGAAAACCUGGCAAAUGACUGUUCCAUACUUAAAAAUCAGUUUUGUUGGAGGAAAAUAUCUUCCUAAAACAAAAAACAAAAUAAAAAAAAAAAAAAAAGAAAAAGCUUAGCCUGCAUAUUUUCAUAAACCUGAACAUGUUAAUGUGCAUUCUGUGGGUAACCAUAUAUCAGCUGUCUUUCCUGCUGUACGUGUGCCUGCACGAUGGAGGCAAUGGAGCAAAUACCCUGAGAUGUUCUGUCAGACAUUGCCAUGCAACUCCUUCUCUCUGGCAGACGUGUUGCUCUUCAUUAUCACUUUGUCAAUCUGUAUAGCCCUUAGAUACCCAAGGGCAGUAUGGACACAACUUAAAGAUGGAGCAGGUGCUCUGAUGCCUUCUUGAGAAGGAUCACAAACGCUUCCAAGGGAUGUCUCAGUCCCCAUCUUCUGCUGCAGAAUAAGUGUCUCAAGAUCUGUUGUUUGCCGUGCUUCAUCGAGGUCGUUACAAAUGUCUGCUGGAGAGAUAGGAAGUUGUGGAGCAAAUGAGAAGGGACAGCACUGUCCUGUCAUUAACAGGUUCAGAAGAAGUCGGAUAUCCCAGCAAGAACACAGAAUCACAAGAGUUGGAAGGAACCUCAAGAGACCAUUGAAUCCAACUCCUCUGCUAAGGUCUGACCAACAGAAGGAGUGGCUGCAGUGCAUGCUGUGCCUUUAGUGCACUCCUCAACACGGCACCCAGAAAAUCAAAGUGUGGAAACUGACAGAAUAACCAUUGUGUCGCCCUUUAGCAACUAUCUGCUAAAACAUGGAGGUCGUUCUAUGAAGGGCAGCGUGCUGGAAUGCAAACAAGAAUGUGAAGUGUUUUGUAUGAAUGUGGAUUCUUCCAUUCCAAUACUAACUGGCUGUCAGCAGUUCUCUUUGAAGCUGGAGCACACUGGAGCUCAACCACUGCACAAGGAUUAGAGACUCAUACGUUCUAAGGCAUUAGUAAAAAUAUAUUCCAGGUGGAUUCUGUCUCUUAAAUGCGUCAUUAUUAUUAAGGCAGUAGAGUUUUUUGGCGUGCAAUCUCUUCCAAAGCAUUGACUCAUGGGAGGAAGAGGGAGCAGCUUUUCCUUUUGCUCAGCAUGCAAGCCUCUGACAAACAGGGUCUGCUGGGAUGUUCUGUCCAAGGAGAUUGAUCAGAGGUGUCGGAGCGAGCUGUGCUCAACUGGGCCUGGCAGCAAAACUGGGAGAGGCUCACAAUGAGGGUGAAAGGGAGGAGGAAAACCAGACGUUCUGCUUUUAUCAUUGUAAUGCCAUAGGGCUUUAAACAGCAAAAUCUGUGCUGGUAGGAAAGCCCAUGCCUAAAUAUCAGUACCAGUUUGGAUGAUAAAUAUGGACUAAGAGAAGGCUCCUAAGUAGAGACUUAAACUGACUGGUAUCCUCCAGGUGUGUAAACCUACUUAAAUCCUGAAAUAAAAACAGCGUACUUCAAAACUAAAUGCAACUGAAGAACAACACAGUGCAAAUUUCAAGUCUGCUCCUUUUCUUUCAGACUUGAGAAGAUCUGAUGGGCCUAAAAGCUUUCUAGUCUAAGUUUUCUAGCUGUGCUGCUUUGUUUCAGGCAGGAUAUCUGUGUUAGAGUUCCUUGUUCUUGGGGCCACGAUAUGAGUAAUAUCAGCAUCAAAAGAUGGUACCUUACCAGUUGCAAGGAAUCUGGCUGGGUUCUUGUGCAGUUUUACUUCUUUUGCAAGUCUUGUGGCAGCCUGCUAUAGGAUGGGCUCCUCACUAAAGGUGUCUUUAAUGGAUGGGAACAGAGAUGUCCUCUGUCUGCAUGUUUGCUAUGUGUGCAGUUUUCCAGCAGGCUUAUUCUUAUCUGUUUGUGUGGCUCUUUGCAUGAAACUUGGCAUGGUUUUGGAGAUGUUUUGGUAUUUUAUUGAUGUUGCUCACAAGGCAGAUACAUUUUCUCUCCCUUGUAAGCUAUGGAAAAACCUAAAGCUUCUUAAAAAAUAAUAAUAAAAAAUAUAUAAAGCAAUUCAGCUUUUUGAAAACGCAUAAUUGAAGAGCUCUGAAAUAAUUGGCUUAUUAUAGUGCACCCGUAAAAAUGAAUUUGCAUCUCAUUUAUGAAUUAAUAGAUUCCCUAUUACAUGAGACUGAUUGUUCUUAAUGUGACUUGCAUGUAAUUUAGCAUUCUUUACUCAAACCCUUUGUAGCUACACACUGGGGGAGGGAAGUUCAUUCCAAAAUCAUGGUGCUAGAUCUGAGAUUAUGGAGAAUUCACAAAUGGUUGGAGCGUUCACAAACUGGGUCCUGGAUAUUGUGCUCUCAGCAUCUUCUUUGCCUCUGUAUUCCCAUCCCAGCUGCACGCUCUACUGCAGAAGCCUGAGAGUAUCAAACUAAUUCUUUUAUUUGGGGGAAUCCCAGAUAUGAACACAGACUGGCAGAAGAACUCCUUGAGAGCAGCCCUGUGGUGAAGGAUGUGGGGUUCUGGUGGAGGAAAAGCUGACAUGAGCAGCAGUGUGUGCUUGCUGUUCUACAGUUCCUUGCUUUGCCAUCACUGGGAAGGCUUGGUCACAUUGCAAUGAGAAGUGCUGUUACGGAAGAUAAACUUCAGCUGUGAGUACUUGGGUAGCUGCUAAGUGCCAUGGAUGUGAUUUUGCAGACUCCUCACUGUGACAGUCAUCCAGCCUUGUUCUAAGGGGACUGUCUGAAGUCUCCUCUCUUGCACUUCAACUGAUGGAAGGUGUGGUACUGCUUUUGUUUGUUAUGGGGUAGCAGGUAGUUGUUCCUUGUGGGGGGAAGCAAUUCUGGAUUGAAAAAUUACAGAAGGACCUUAUGCUCUUUUAGGCAAAGCACAAUACACAGAGAUCCAUUAACUUCAGGAGAUAACCAUCAACAUUGAUUGCAGAUGCAUCAGAACAGCAGUGAAAUCCUUUGUGCUUCCUUUUUGUCUGUAAAUACUCUCAGUUUAGCAGUGUAACAAAUCCAGCCAGAAGCACCAACACCAAACAGCCAGGGAAGCAUAACAGCCCCCUACUCCUCUUACAUCAAUUUACAGCAGAGAUUACGUUUGGUUUCAGAAACGUGGAGAUGCUCACCCUUAAAAGCUACCAUUUCAUAUAAGGAAAUUAUUCACUUUAUACAUGAGAACAGGUUAGAACAGUGUCAGCACCGAUGCUGGGUGUUGCUGGGCUGCCACUUGCUGUUAGGGGAACAAUUACUCCAGCUCUGAGCCCAACCCUACUUUGGGGCUGGAGCUAACGAGGCACGUGGUGCACUGCAGAAAUGGGCUCAGGAGCUCAGCUCAGGCAAUCCCUGCUGCAGCUGUUGUGCUAACACAUUUCUUCCACUCCAUCCGUUUCCCUGUCUGGCAGACUUUGUUAUUGUUUUGCUUAGAGGUGGUUUUACACCUCGGAAUCUGCAAAGGGUUGUUAUAAAGCUUCCGAGUGUAGGGGUUAAGCAGGAUCGAUCUGUUGGCUUUUCCAAAACGAGUGCUCUACCGCACUGGCCUUUGAGGGAUAAAUGUCUUAUUCAGACAAAUCCACGAUGCUUUUCAGAGAGAAUCACUUUGCUGCACAGCUGUUGUCAGGGAGCAUGACUGGUGCACGGAUUGCUGGCAUAAGGCAGCCAGCAAUGGGAUUCUCUUUGCUUUCUUUGGGGAAGGUGGAAACGUGCAUUUUCAAAGCAGCUCAUUUAGUAAAUGUCUGCUUUUAAUCCCCAGACUAACUCAUUUUCAUUCUGUUCCUAUCUCCGAAGGUGAAUUCUGGGCACAAUUUGGAAGAUUCCUUUCAGCUUUCACUAAUUGGCAAUCAAAAGUACCCAUCAUCCUGGAUCCAAAACGUCAAGUCUCUGCUUUGAGCAUAAACUUGCUGCUAUCGCCAUGCAGACAUAGUGCUCAUUAUCUGUGCAGGAGGUCGCCUUUGCAUGCUGGAGGAAAACACUGGAGAUGGGGAAGAUACCUACAGUCCUUCUGUGACUUGGGACAUAAUAAAGUAAACAUAAGUCAGUUUGUAGUGCAACAAGAGCUCAUUUGGAGCACAAAGACAGGAGUGUGCUGAAUGCAAUUUCCUUUGUAAGUUUUUGAGAUAAUUUAGAGCCCACUCCUCCAAUGCUGAAGUGGAGAUGCAAAUGCUUGGAACAGAAGACUGACCCUAUAAGACUGCCUUGGUGAUACCUGACAGAUCGUAGGAUCAUUAAGGUGGGCUCAGCACUUUAUCUUUUUGCAGAAGCCAAAACUCUGACACUUGGAAAGAUGAAAGUUGUCAACUCUCAGCUGGUGUUUCAUCCAAGGGGAAAGGCCUGUGUUGACUUGAACCAUCUAAGAAUAUGUCCAUAUCUGUCUUCUUUCAGAGCAGGCAUUUCAGAAAUAACCCAGGGAAGUUGUUGCAUUUCUGCAAGGCCUGUGUACCUGACCUACAUACACAGCUUUGAAAACUCCAGUCCUUAGGAACUACAGUGAAACUCAGUGUUGCUCUAUGAUGCAGAAAAGCCCACUAUGUUUCCCUUUAUUUUUUCUCAGUAUUUUACAUGAAAAUGUUUUGGCAGGGAAAAAAAACAGAGGAGAUAUUUCUACUUGUGUUUAAUUUCAGUUACUUUUAAUGUUUCUUCGGCAGUAUGAAAUUAAUUCCUUUUUUUUUAUAUAUAUAUAUAUACUGAGAACAGAGGAUGUGCUGUGAGGCUGUAUGGUUGUAUGGUAAUCUGUUGAACCACAGUGGGAUAGUGGCCUAUUUUGUGUCCAAAAGGGGAGUUGGGUGUUUGGGAUAUCAAGGAUCCCCUGCCAUUUUUGCAGGUGUAUUUUCUGGUUUUGCACAAACAGCUGCUGGCACAGACACUGCCUCUUGCUCUGCUCCUGGCCUUGAUGCCCAGUCUUGUGCUGGUAGGAUGCACAGGAACACUUCACCCCUUGAAUUCCCAAGGAAGUUUUACCGUAUCUCUUAUAAGCCUUGCCUGUUUUAGGUUCUUGAUACACUCAGAUCCUGAAGUUUGUACAUCCCAAAUUGCCAGGCUGUUGAUCUUGGCGCACAUGCAUCUGAACUAAUAACUCGCUCAGUUCACUGGAGACUGCAUGAGUAAAUAGGGAGCAGUGGGAAUAAGCCCAAAGCUUGUGGGGCUGGUGGCAUUAAUAAUACUUCCACUGAAACACACCUGUUGUUGCUUUCCCCAGAGGAAAAUUUGGUGUUCAGAAGCCCCCCGACACAUGAAGAGGAAGAUGCAGGCUGUGAUUUUAGAUCUCUGAUUCGGCACCACCUGAGUGGGUUUGAACUGCGAUUUUGAUAAACAGAUAAGCACAAAUGGUGCCUUUCUGCUUAUUACUUGGAUGUCAAAUCUCAGCCUCAUGCAAUUGGAACUGCUGACUUAUUAAACCUUGGAAAUUGGGCUUGAUAACAGAAACAGCAACUCAGUGAGCCUUCAUUACAGCUGCGGCACUGACCAUGACAUAGCUCUUCACACAGAGGAGUUCAAUGUGAGGGAGUGAGUGUGGUAGAAACCAUUUGUCAGGACUGGUGUUAGCUGUGAAUGUGGCUGUUCUCCAUGCUGCUCACCAGGCUCAGUGGGGCAGUGUUAGCACCAGGAGAGUAAAACAGAAGCUAUUAUCUUUUCUUUGUGCCAUGUUUUCAAGAGUCAGUUCAACAUUGGAGUGGAGACUGUCUGCUGUGCUGCUUUAAUAGCAAACCUGGGGAGUUUUGAUGAAGCAUUAUUAAAAAGUUAUAUCACAAAUGACUGUUUAGAUGUGAGUUUACUCAGUUCUGCUUUCGUUCACUGCUGCUCCUCAGUUUUAGAACUAUUUGAAUAGCAAAAUGCAUGUCAUCAUUUUCAAAUGCUUAGAAGACAAAGCCAAUGUUUCAUCAAUUUAUCUAUGUCCCAAAUGGCCCUUCUAUCCAAGACUGUGCUCGAAACUCUGGAUUACAGGCAUAAAAGAUGAAUAGAAUUGUAAUGAUUUGCUUUAAAAGAGCACUAAGAUUUGGGGAGUACAAUGAAAGCCUGCCAUAGCCUAAGCAUUUUUCUUCUGUGUUGUUUUUCAAAGGAACACACUGGUAAAAUCAAAAGAGAUGGCAGGGAUAUGUUUUAUAUUACUAUACAAGGGCAAACAGAUGGUUUACUUUUUCUCCUUUUUAAAAUAUGUAGCUACUGCAUUCUCAUUAUAUCUCUUGGAAUGGUUUCAGAUAUCAAUUCAGUUUGCAAAACUGAGUUGAUUGAAUAAUAGGUUUAUCACAAUUUCAAAUCAAUUAGAGAUACUCCUCGCCAGAGGAGGAGAUGGUUUACUUAAAUAUCAAUAAUAAAACUGUAUAAGCUAUGAA